UACGGGGGGGGGCAAGCGGUUGUUCGGAAUUACUGGGCGUAAAGGGCCAGUAGGCGGCCAACUAAGUCGGGACGUGAAAUCCCCAGGCUCAACCUGGGAAACUGCGUCCGAUACUGGAUGGCUUGAAUUCGGGAGAGGGAUGCAGAAUUCCAGGUGUAGCGGUGAAAUGCGUAGAUAUCUGGAGGAAUACCGGUGGCGAAGGCGGCAUCCUGGACCGACAUUGACGCUAAACGGCGAAAGCUAGGGGAGCAAACGGG
rnacentral:rRNA from 1 species